UUGGGGUAGCUCAGUUGGUAGAGCAUGAGACUCUUAAUUUCAAGGUCAUGGGUUUGAGACCCAUGUAGGGGAAAAG